GAGUGACAUUGUGACCGAAGAAUUCAC
rnacentral:sRNA from 1 species